UGUGCCUUAAACUAAUGAGUAAGGAAAAUAACGAGCCUUGGUAACGCUCGGCUCUCACAAAUCUCAAUUUGUGGGAAUUUUUGGAGGGGUACAGG